CUCUGUCAGUCUCAGUGUGCUCUUAAAUUGCUCCUCCAGCUCCUCCUCUCCUCAUCCUCCAAAGCCUCUCUCCACUCUCCAAGUCACAAGGCCAUUCUCAGCACACACUGACAACAUGCUGUGGACUCUGCUCUCUCUCAUCACUGCUCUAACAUGUGUGAGUGCUGUGACGCUGGUGACACAGAAGCCUCCUGUUGUGUCUGUGAGGAGAGGAGAGACCGCCACCAUGGACUGUAACCUGGAGACGGUGACUGGCAGUGAUGCUCGCUGGUACAAACAGAUUCCUGGAGGAGUUCCUCAGUUUAUACUGUAUAACUAUCAUGGCUGGAGCUCUCCAAGAUAUGACUCUGGUUUCUCCUCUCCAAAGUUCACAUCCACUCAUCAGUCACAAUCAGAUUAUCGAUUGAUCAUCAGCACUGUGGAGGAGGGAGACUCAGCAGUUUAUUACUGUAAAACAUGGGACAGCUCUGCUAAGCAGUACGUAUCACAGUGAUUUACACCAUGACAAAAACCUCCUCACUGAACAUUUCUGCUUUUUCAGUCUCUGAGACACUUCUUAUACCAUCAGUCACUUCUCUGCACAAGAGUUUUUGUGACUGCCAACCAGUUUCCUGAAUGUUUUCUUUAAAAGCAGUGGACAAAAUUAUCUGUCUUUUCACGCAACACCUGCAGAGUACAGAACCAAACAUUUUCAGGCUUUUUUUCAGUUCAUCUUAAAGAAAUAUAAUCAUAUUUCAUAACCUCCAAAUAAUUAAAUACAAAUGAGAUUGCAAGGCUGCUACAAAACUCAUAAACUAGAUUUAACUUUGUUUCUUUUUAACCACAAAACAUUCAGUUUAACUAGCCUUACCCUUCUAACUCAGAGUUUUUCUGAGCAAAA